rnacentral:tRNA from 1 species
AGGGAUUUAGCUCAGUGGUAGAGUGCUUGCCUAGCAAGCACAAGGCCCUGGGUUCGGUCCCCAGCUCUG